rnacentral:lncRNA from 1 species
AUUCGUGGCUCUCGACCUUUGCUGCAGGCUUCAUGCUGCAGCCACACUGUGAACUUCCGCUUCACACUCCUGACCUAUGUGUUCCCUGCCAGCGUGGAUUGCAUCUUCAAACUGCCCAGAGCUUUUGGACAACCAAACACACACAGGAUGGAUGAUAGCAUGGAGACACUCCAAGGAGCCUCUCUCCACCAUCUUCAUCCCUGAACAUCCAUCUCCUUGUGGGUUGCAAACACGAACAGGGGAAUGCCAGGACCAGGAAUGGGAGUGGGUGAGUUGGGGAGGGGGGGCAGGGGAUUUUUGGAGGGGAAACUAGGAAAGGGGAUAACAUUUGAAAUGUAAAUAAAGAAAAUAUCUAAUAAAGAAAAAAAACA